AGUGAACGCUGGCGGUAGGCCUAACACAUGCAAGUCGAACGGCAGCACAGUAAGAGCUCGCUCUUACGGGUGGCGAGUGGCGGACGGGUGAGGAAUACAUCGGAAUCUACUUUUUCGUGGGGGACAACGUAGGGAAACUUAUGCUAAUACCGCAUACGAUCUACGGGUGAAAGCAGUGGAUCUUCGGACCUUGCGUGAUUGAAUGAGCCGAUGUCGGAUUAGCUAGUUGGCGGGGUAAAGGCCCACCAAGGCGACGAUCCGUAGCUGGUCUGAGAGGAUGAUCAGCCACACUGGAACUGAGACACGGUCCAGACUCCUACGGGAGGCAGCAGUAGGGAAUAUUGGACAAUGGGCGCAAGCCUGAUCCAGCCAUACCGCGUGAGUGAAGAAGGCCUUCGGGUUGUAAAGCCCUUUUGUUGGGAAAGAAAAACAGCAUAUUAAUACCCCGCUGUUCUGACGGUACCCAAAGAGUAAGCACCGGCUAACUUCGUG
rnacentral:rRNA from 1 species